GACAAGAAAUAACAAUACGGGGCUUAACGUCUUGUAAUUGGAAUGAUGGGAAUUUAAACCUCUUCCAGAGUAUCAAUUGGAGGGCAAGUCUGGUGCCAGCAGCCGCGGUAAUUCCAGCUCCAAUAGCGUAUAUUAAAUUUGUUGCAGUUAAAAAGCUCGUAGUUGAAUUUCUGCUGCAUUACAUUUCUCUUGUUUGAGUUUGCUAUUGCGGCUUAUUUCGGAUUGAUUUUUAUCUUUCCGGAUGAUUACUUUGAGAAAAUUAGAGUGCUCAGAGCAGGCUUUUGCCUUGAAUAGUUUAGCAUGGAAUAAUAGAGUAGGACUUUGGUUCUAUUUUGUUGGUUUUAGGUACCAAAGUAAUGGUUAAUAGGAACAGUUGGGGGCAUUCGUAUUUAACUGUCAGAGGUGAAAUUCUUAG
rnacentral:rRNA from 1 species